rnacentral:rRNA from 1 species
UACGUAGGGGGCAAGCGUUGUCCGGAAUCAUUGGGCGUAAAGCGCGUGUAGGCGGCAUUGCAAGUCGGGUGUGAAAGCCCUCGGCUCAACCGAGGAAGUGCGCCCGAAACUGCAGUGCUUGAGUACCGGAGAGGGUGACGGAAUUCCCCAAGUAGAGGUGAAAUUCGUAGAUAUGGGGAGGAACACCGGUGGCGAAGGCGGUCACCUGGACGGAUACUGACGCUGAGGUGCGAAAGCGUGGGGAGCAAACAGG